GUGCUCACUUCCACAGGACAAAUACUAAAAUUGGAACAGAAAAAGAAGAUUAGCAUGGCCUCUGCCUGCACAAGGAUGACAUGCAAAUUUGUGAAGCAUUCCAUAUUUUU